rnacentral:lncRNA from 1 species
AAUAAAUGAAGAAAUCACAUGAGAAAAUGGAAUUUGGAGAAGAAUUGGAAAAAUGCUGGAGCGGAGGAUCGAAGUGAGGAGGGGCGCUGGGCAAAACGACGUCGUUUUGGUGUAACCCUAGCCUCCAAACCAGGUGGUGGCGCUACAGUUCCAGGCGGUGGUUCAUGCGGUGGUUUCCACCGUCUUCUUCGUGAAGACGGUGGUGCUACUGUUCAUCUUUUUUUUUUUUUGCAGAAUUUAAUAAAAUUUAUAUCGUUAGAAAGGUCUUGAUGAGUAGAUUCCAAAUAUCAUAAAAACUAAUCCUAAUUCUCAAUAUAUUUUCUGGAUCGAAGGAAAUAAGUUUCUAGAUCUAAACUUUAAUUCAACAUAACUUCUUCAUUUUUCAUCCAAAUUUCAUGAAAUUUAUAUCAGAAUAACCAGUGAUGAAAGCUCUAAAAGUUUAUGUACAUAAAAU